rnacentral:lncRNA from 1 species
AGGAAUCAAAGAAUUUAGGAAUCGGAGAACUACUGAAUCGGUAUGGGAAGAAUAAUUCUCAUUAAGUUGUUUACUAAACAUAUGGAAUUAGCAAAGGAAUGAGGUUGAUUCCCAUUGUUAUUGUUUACUAAUUUUCAUGAAUCAGAAUCCAAAUUAAUUUGAUUACUAAAAUGCCCUGCACAUUUUCACCACAGCACGUAUAUAAUUCUCAAAUUUGCUAAGGAGACCAAACUAAUCCUGCAACAAACUAGUAAGGCGGUGCAAACAUGAGGAAUCAAUAUGCUGAACAAGAUGAACAGCAAGAGCCCAGUUCAAUGAUAAUGUUAAUAACACCUUUGCCCAGAGCCAAUUUCAAACGAAAAAAUAAACUCCAAUAAAUAAAUAAAUAAAUAAAUAAAUAUAUAUAUAUAUAUCUUUCACCUACGUAACUAGUAAACAAUCAAAUAAUAAUAACCUGCAUAAUCUUCAUACAUUAAAUACAUGGAACUUCUUGGAAAUGAGUUUUUAUUUAUUUUUUAUUUUUUAUUUUUUAUUUAUAGGGUUGGAGCAUCUUGGAACUUUUUUGCGUGAGUUUUUUUUUAUUUAUUUAUUUUUAUUUAGGGUUUGGGGUGUUUUGGAAUUAUGGUAAAGUGGUAAUGGUAUUUUUGAAAGUUACUAAGAGAAAACAAGAAUGGGAAUCGUAUCGACUACUCCCCCCUAGUUGAUUUGAUACCUAGUUCUGAGGGGAUGUGAUUAUGAAUUUUGAGAUAGGGCCCAUUUAUUUUUUCAUUCUUGAUUGCAAGUAAAUAUAGGGGAAGUCAGGAAUGGAAAUCAUUGCAUUUCCUCUCAUACCUAUUACUGAUACGUAAACGUGCCCUAAAGAUCUAAAAGGAGGUGGGUUUAUGGUAUUGAAGAAUAUAUAGGCUUCAGACGGAAGCCAAUAAGCUAAUAAGUGUUUGAGGAAUUUGGCAGUGAUAGAUUUCCAUGGCAAUAAGUUGGGGGAAAGGCCUUCGUUGUUCAGCCUACUGGUUGCUGCAGAAUUUUCUUUUUUCCUUUUUAUGUUUUUUUUUAAAAAAAAAUCUUUUUAUUUUUAUUUUUAAAGAUAGAAAUAAGUGGUAAAUCCAGUUGUAAACAAAAUAUACACAUGGCAAAUUUUAAGUGGGGAGUAUCACUAGCUGACGUGGUGAUACGAUGUCAUUCUAUAAUUUCUCCAUGUGGACAAGAAGAAUAUCACCUACAUUGAGAGAGAGAGAGAGAGAGAGAGAGAGAGAGAGAGAGAGAGUAUCAACCAUGGCAAUUUAUUAGGUCUACUAAUGAUGAUUCUCUAGCCUCCUUUUAAUGUUUAAGGUUGUGUUGAGAAAUUGUAAGGUAAAGAGAUAUGAAAGAUGGGAAAAAAAAGGAAGAUGAGCGACAACCAUGAUAGGCUGUGGGGGUGGGGGGACUUGUCGGCAAGGAAGGAAGGGUUGGGGCUGCUUUUUUUUUUCCUUCCAGUUUUUUUUUUUUUUUUUAAAUUUAAAUUUUAAAUAAGACACAUGACAAACUUUGAAUGGAAAUAUCACUAACUGACGUAGUGAUACAAAACCAUUCUAUAAUUUCUCGUCCACAUAACGUCUUAUAAUUGAAAGCCGGAAUAUUUAUUCCCACAUUAGGCAUGGCGGCCCAUAUGGUUUUUCAUGUCCCAUGGUAGCACAUCUUUCCAUGUGGAGUUUCUAUGAGCCAUGGUGUUUUGUUUUGCUUUCUGUGCUUGACGUGUAGACUGAAACCCACGUGAAGAUUGAAGCCAACCAUGGAGAAAUGGAUGACAAACCAAGGCCCAUGCAAGUUGAUGGCAAAGUAGGCGUCAAUCCUUUCGAAGCAGCAAUAGUUGAGGCAAAUAAUUUUAUUUGAAAAACAUCUUUUGAGACUCAUACAAAUUUUAUUUCAAUAAUAUAAAUUAUUUAUUUUUUAAGUCUUUAUUUAUACCUACUGAUACUUCUCUUUUUGAUGAUAAAAGAAGUUUUAAAUUACAAUCUUCCCACUCCCCAAUGAUCUGAAAAUGUUAAACAUAGAGUAAUUGAUAUAAGUCUUUCCCAAAUUUUGAAUUCUUAAUUUAGCUCAACUAAAAAAAAAACAUUGAAAAUCCUUGAAUGUGAUCAAAUAAAAACGACGAUGAUAAAUAAUCAAAUGACCAAGCUAUUUGUGAUAGGUUUUCUAUUUUAAUUUUUUUUUUUUCUGGUUACGUGAAGCUCGACCCUUCUUUACAUUACAUUUCCAAACCGAAAGCUAAAGUUGUGUUGAUUAAAAAACAAGCACAUCUGUCUGUCUCCUUUCAGAAGCCGAAGAAAUGGAAAAUGCCAUUAGACGUCGGUUUCAGCUUUCAAUUCAAAGGCCUAGUUUUGUACAAUGCAGCAAACAUUGCCUUUGUGGGGUGGCAAGUCUUAGCUUAGGGCGUUUAUUAUUGCUUUGCUUCACACUGCUUAGAUUUCCUCAUACUUUAAACCAAGUUGCAUCGAAUAUUUCUAAAUUGUUCUGUAUGGAAGUCCAAGUGCCAAGAAAAGGUAUAAUUAUGAUUCAUAAUUUACCAAUAUUAUAAUUUGUGUCAAACAAAGGUCCUUCGGUAGAGGAUCCUUAACUAUUAUUUAUCAUCAAAAGAUACGAGUUAUUUUAUAGCGAGAGUCUUAU